GUUCUUUUGAUUUAUUAAAAUUUUAGGUCUAACCUGCUCUAUGAUUUAUUAAAUGGCCGCGGUAUUUUAACUGUGCUAAGGUAGCAUAAUUAUUUGUCUUUUAAUUGAAGGCUGGAAUGAAUGGUUGGACAAAUAACUUUCUUUCUUUGUUUUAAUUAUUUGAAUUUUAUUUUUUAGUCAAAAAGCUAAAAUUUUUUUGUAGGACGAGAAGACCCUAUAGAUCUUUAUAAUUCUUAUUAUAAUAAUGUUUUGGUUGUUAUAAUUUUUGUUAUAGUAAUAAUUAUUUUGUUGGGGUGAUGUCAGAAUUUAAUUAACUUCUGUUAUAUAAUUUCAUUGAUUUAUGUUUAUAUAUGAUCCAUUUAUAAUGAUUAUAAGAUUAAGUUACCUUAGGGAUAACAGCGUAAUUUUUUCGGAGAGUUCUUAUCGAUGAAGGAGUUUGCGACCUCGAUGUUGGAUUAAAAUUAGUAUUUGGUGCAGCCACUAAAUAACUAGGCCUGUUCGACCUUUAAAAUUUUACA
rnacentral:rRNA from 1 species